rnacentral:rRNA from 1 species
UGGCGCACGGGUGCGUAACACGUAUGCAACUUACCCGCAACUGGGGCAUAGCCCGGAGAAAUCCGGAUUAAUUCCCCAUAAAACAGGGGCACCACAUGGUGAUAUUUGUUAAAACUCAGGUGGUUGCGGAUAGGCAUGCGGCCCAUUAGCUAGUUGGUAGGGUAACGGCUUACCAAGGCUUCGAUGGGUAGGGGGUCUGAGAGGACAAUCCCCCACACGGGUACUGAGACACGGACCCGACUCCUACGGGAGGCAGCAGUGAGGAAUAUUGGACAAUGGAGGAAACUCUGAUCCAGCCAUGCCGCGUGAAGGAUGAAGGCGCUAUGCGUUGUAAACUUCUUUUCUACAGGAAGAAAAAGUCCGAUUCGUUCGGAUACUGACGGUACUGUAGGAAUAAGCAUCGGCUAACUCCGUGCCAGCAGCCGCGGUAAUACGGAGGAUGCAAGCGUUAUCCGGAUUUAUUGGGUUUAAAGGGUGCGUAGGCGGGACGGUAAGUCAGUGGUGAAAUCCGACAGCUCAACUGUCGAAUUGCCAUUGAUACUGCUGUUCUUGAGUACAAUUGAAGUGGGCGGAAUAUGUCAUGUAGCGGUGAAAUGCUUAGAUAUGACAUAGAACACCGAUUGCGAAGGCAGCUCACUAAACUGGUACUGACGCUCAGGCACGAAAGUGUGGGGAUCAAACAGGAUUAGAUACCCUGGUAGUCCACACCGUAACGAUGAUCACUCGAUGUUGGCGAUAUACUGUCAGCGUCUUAGCAAAAGCAAUAAGUGAUCCACCUGGGGAGUACGGCCGCAAGGCUGAAACUCAAAGGAAUUGACGGGGGCCCGCACAAGCGGAGGAGCAUGUGGUUUAAUUCG